AUCCAAAUGAUGAGUCCUAAAUAGGACGAAACACUCAUCCUGUAU
rnacentral:hammerhead_ribozyme from 1 species